rnacentral:rRNA from 1 species
CAGUCGCCGCGGUAAUACGAAGGGGGCUAGCGUUGUUCGGAUUUACUGGGCGUAAAGCGCACGUAGGCGGGCUUUUAAGUCAGGGGUGAAAUCCCGGGGCUCAACCCCGGAACUGCCUUUGAUACUGGAAGUCUUGAGUAUGGAAGAGGUGAGUGGAAUUCCGAGUGUAGAGGUGAAAUUCGUAGAUAUUCGGAGGAACACCAGUGGCGAAGGCGGCUCACUGGUCCAUUACUGACGCUGAGGUGCGAAAGCGUGGGGAGCAAACAGGAUUAGAUACCCGUGUAGUCCCUGUCUCUUAUAA